UGAGGAAUAUUGGUCAAUGGACGAGAGUCUGAACCAGCCAAGUAGCGUGCAGGAUGACGGCCCUCCGGGUUGUAAACUGCUUUUAGUUGGGAAUAAAAAAGGUGACGUGUCAUCUAUUGUAUGUACCAUCAGAAAAAAGGACCGGCUAAUUCCGUGCCAGCAGCCGCGGUAAUACGGAAGGUCCAGGCGUUAUCCGGAUUUAUUGGGUUUAAAGGGAGCGUAGGCGGAGAGAUAAGUCAGCGGUAAAAUCGUGCGGCUCAACCGUACCUCGCCGUUGAUACUGUUUUCUUGAGUGCACACAGGGAUGCUGGAAUUCGUCGUGUAGCGGUGAAAUGCUUA
rnacentral:rRNA from 1 species